rnacentral:rRNA from 1 species
UUUAUCAGCCCUUAGAGUUCCAAUCGACGGGCUGGUUUGACACCUCGA